CCUACGGGGGGCAGCAGUGAGGAAUAUUGGACAAUGGUCGGAAGACUGAUCCAGCCAUGCCGCGUGAAGGACGAAGGCGCUCAGCGUUGUAAACUUCUUUUGGAUGGGGAUAAUAACCUCGAUUUAUCGGGGCUUGAAGGUACCAUCAGAAUAAGCACCGGCUAACUCCGUGCCAGCAGCCGCGGUAAUACGGAGGGUGCGAGCGUUAUCCGGAAUCACUGGGUUUAAAGGGUGCGUAGGCGGCGAGGUAAGUCAGUUGUGAAAUUCCCCGGCUCAACCGGUGGGACUGCGAUUGAUACUGCUUUGCUUGAAACAGGUUGAGGUAAGCGGAAUGUGACAUGUAGCGGUGAAAUGCAUAGAUAUGUCAUAGAACACCGAUUGCGAAGGCAGCUUGCUGGGCCUUGUUUGACGCUGAGGCACGAAAGCGUGGGGAGCAAACAGGCUUAGAUACCCCAGUAGUC
rnacentral:rRNA from 1 species